CUCUCCACUUCAGUGUAUGUAGUAUAUACAAAGUGAAUAUCAGCAAUAUAUACAAUUAGAAUAUAGAACGCAUCGCCGUCGUCACCGUCACGCUAUAUAUGCAGAAGCAUCGGACCUUUUAAAUUCUGGUGAUAGUGCUCGAAUCGCAGACUCGCAGUGACCCUCUCUGUUUCUCUCCUCUCCCUCCUCAAUUAUUCUGACCUUUUUCUGUGCGAGCAGAAAAUGGAGGACCUGCCCUCUGGUUAUCGUCCCAACGUCGGAGUCUGCCUCAUCAAUUCUGACAAUCAGGUUUUUGUGGCUUCAAGAUUGAAUGUUCCAGGAGCAUGGCAGAUGCCCCAGAAUGGAAGGAGAUUACCUUGAGCAAUUCUGGGUGACCCAUUGGAUCAGCCAAUGGGCUGACAACGAACCAAUAAUGGUAGACAUCUUCGAUCGCCUUGAUCUCCUCGAAGGUAUACUAAGAGAUGUGCCGCCAAGCAGUUUUGUACGGCCAACCCUAAUGCAAGCCCAGGUGGAAUUUUUGAUAAAUCACAUGGAAGGGAUUUGGAGAGACCUAGCUGAAGGACUUCACCUUGAAGGCAAUUACGCAUCCUUAUACUUUUAUUGCCAACAGUUCCGCAACCACGCCGCCAACAUAUAUGAGGGGAUUGAAGUAGAGGGAGACGAAAUGUUAGACUUAGAUGGAGAAUGGGACGCCGAAGAGGCAGCCAUGGCUAAUGAAAUGUAUGCUGACCUCCUUAGGUCGGAUGAUGAAGAUGAAGAAGCAACUGUACAUGACGACCUUGAUGGACCCGAGGUCGAGUCUGAAGAUGACACAGCGAUUGAUGAUGCUUGGGUCUGGAAGUCAGCCAACCCAUAGAAAGAAUCAUGGACGAUUUUAUUUCGCUUAUUAGUGUGUCAGAUGUGUGCUGUGUGCUUUUCUUAAAUGAUGUUAUAUAUCGUGUUCUGAAAUGAAAUUCCGAUUUGAAGAAAUUCUUGUGGAAUGAGAUUUUGUUUUUCUUUCAGAUGGUAAUCACGAGACAACAAAGGAACAUGACUCCUGUCAACCCCAAUCGGGGAAUCGAGGAUGUCAGAGGCAGUAGAAAUCGCCGCUACAAUCGUGACGAUAGUAGUAGCAUCCGAACUGAGGAACAAGAGACAGAAUCAGCAGUCCCCGAGGGACGAUUGGAUCGGAUUGAGAAGAUCUUAGAAAAUCUCGUAACCCACACAACUAGGGGAGAACCGGCCAAGCACACUGAUAAUGUGCUAGAACAGUAUCGGCGACAGCGACCACCAACGUUCAAAGGAAAACCCCAUGAUGACCCCAGCACGGUCGAAUACUGGUUGGAAUAAACAGAGAAGUUGCUUCGACAUCUGCAGUAUAAUGAUGAGGACAAAUUGAAUUGUGCCACUUUCAUGUUGGAGGAAGAAGCUGGAAGAUGGUGGCAGACAGCUGAACGAGCUUUACAACGAUCUUACUCGAGACAAGGAUCAGAAUCCGAUGAGACUCCAGUAUCAGUCUGGGAGGCAUUUAAGAAAGCCUUUAAUGAUAAGUAUUUUCCUCUUAGCUGGAAGCAGGAAAAGAGCUGGGAGUUUAAAAACCUAAAGCAGACCGGAGAAAUGACGGUGGCGCAAUACGACACCAAAUUCAACCAACUCAUUAAAUAUGUGCCAAUGUAUGACUCCGAUGAAUGGCAAAAGGCACAGAAGUUUAUGUCAGGACUUCGAGUAGAGUUGUUGUAGGCUUUGAGCACCUGGUCGAUCGAUUCCUAUGAAGAAGCCUUGAGUAAAGCUUUGAUAACAGAAAGGAAUCUUCUUCAAGUGAAGCUCAUUAGGUCUGGUGAAAUGAAGGGAAACUCGGAACAGAAAUCGGGAAAUAAAAGCUCCCAAAACAGCAAGCAAUGCCCCAAAUGCAAGAAGAACCAUCUGGGAAAGAAAUGCUUGGCAGGGACAUCCAGCUGUUACUCGUGCAGAGAACAAGGACACAUAAGUAGAGACUGUCGCAAAAGAAAAGAAACACCUCCAGUGAAAGAUCUAACAAAGGUGGUGUGUUUUCAGUGCAAUCAACUAGGGCACUAUUCAAGGAACUGUCCGAAGAAGCCGAAACUCGGACAAGCAGAUGGACCAGCUGAAAGAGCAGGAAAGGCUCGUUGGACUUGUCAGGGACACGUCUACAACCUCACCAAAGAAGAUGGGACAGAUCCGGCAGUCAUACAAGGUACGCUCUUUAUAUCGGAUACCCCUGUGCAUGCAUUGAUAGACCUUGGGUCAACGCAUUUAUUUAUGUCAUAUACACUAGCUGGGAGUUUGGGGGUAGAGACUAAACCUAUGGAAUCUCCGAUAAUAAUUUCUACGCCCAUGGGUAAAAGUGCAAGGUCCUCAAGAGUGAGAGAAAAAUGCGAAAUUAGUUUAAGUGAUGCUCGAUUCCAGGUUGAUCUAAUCUUGCUGGAAGUAUAUGAUUUCGACGUAAUUUUGGGAAUGGACUUCUUGUCCAGAUAUGAUGCCAAUAUAGAUUGUCGAAGAAAAAUAGUGACCAUAAAGAAACCCGAAGGGGAAUGGGUCAAAUUUCGGGGACAAGGUGACCCCAAGAUUAGAAAAAUGAUUUCAGCUAUGAAAGCAGUAAAAUUAAUAAGCCAAGGAGCUCAUGGGUAUAUAGCUUAUGCUCGAUUAGAAAAGGGAGAAUUACCAAAACUCAACGAGGUGCAAGUGGUGCAAGAGUACGAGGACGUGUUCCCAGAAGACCUAUCGGGAUUACCUCCACCUCGAGAGAUCGAGUUCUCGAUUGAGCUAGUACCAGGAACCCAACCGAUAUCAAUUCCACCAUAUCGGAUGGCUCCGGCAGAAAUGAAGGAAUUGAAGAGUCAGCUUCAGCAGCUAACCGAUAAGGAAUUCAUCCGGCCAAGCACGUCACCAUGGGGCGCGCCAGUAUUAUUUGUAAAAAAUAAAGAUGGUAGUAUGAGGAUGUGCAUCGACUACCGUCAAUUAAACAAGGCCACAAUCAAGAAUAAGUAUCCACUCCCAAGGAUUGAUGAGCUGUUUGAUCAGCUACAGGGAGCAAAGGUGUUCUCAAAAAUUGAUUUGAGAUCUGGAUACUAUUAAUUGAGAAUCAAGCCGGAUGAUGUCUCGAAGGCAGCAUUUCGAACAAGGUACGACCAUUAUGAGUAUUUGGUGAUGCCAUUUGGACUAACGAACGCCCCAGCGGCAUUUAUGGACCUCAUGAAUAGAGUGUUCAGACUCUACUUAGAUCAAUUUGUAAUCGUGUUUAUAGACGAUAUAUUGGUGUAUUCCUCGAACGAGAAUGAGCACGAAGGGCACUUGAGAGCAGUGCUAGAAACUCUUAGGAAACAUCAACUAUAUGCCAAGUUCUCGAAAUGCGAGUUUUGGUUGUCUCAAGUUGCAUUCUUAGGUCAUGUGAUAUCGACCGAGGGAAUCUCGGUAAAUCCAGCCAAGAUUGAGGCUGUUCAGGGAUGGAAGCAACCAACACGUGUAACCGAGAUAUGAAGUUUUUUGGGAUUGGUAGGCUAUUAUCGAAGAUUUGUAGAGGGGUUUUCGAAGAUAGCCGCGCCUAUGACAAAACUCAUACGAAAAGACGUCAAGUUCGAAUGGACUGCCAAGUGCGAGGAAAGCUUUCAAGAGUUCAAAGAUAGGCUAACCUCGGCACCUAUUCUAGCAAUGCCUAGAGGGCCAGGUGGAUAUGUUGUAUACACGGAUGCCUCGAAGAUAGGUUUGGGUCUGUGUUAAUGAAAAAUGGUCGAGUGAUCGCGUAUAGGUCACGACAGUUAAAGAAGCACGAGGUAAAUUACUCGACUCAUGAUCUGGAACUGGUAGCCGUGAUAUAUGCUCUGAAACUAUGGAGACAUUACCUGUAUGGUGAAACCUUUGAGGUGUUCACAGACCACAAGAGCAUGAAGUAUGUGUUCUCGCAAAAGGAGUUGAACCUUAGGCAGCGACGGUGGAUGGAGUUUCUUAAGGACUACGACUGCACCAUACAGUAUCACUCGGGACGUGCCAAUGUGGUGGCUGACGCACUGAGUAGGAAUGUGCCUAUUUCUAUGGCUGGGAUGAUGGCCCGUGAGUGGCAGAUGUUGGAGGCUUUUAGCCAACUGACAGUGAGUGUAGUGCCAAAGGAAUCAUCCGUCCUUAUCGCUGGCAUGGUAGUUCAACUGGAUUUAGUGAACGAAAUAUGAGAGGCAUAUGUGGAUGAUAAGCGAAUACAUCUAUGGGUGGACGAGCAUGGCCAGCCUAAGAGAUCCGAUUUUGAAAUGCAUGAUGGCAUACUAAGAUUUCGGGGAAGGAUCUACGUGCCAAACCUGAAAGACUUGAGGCAAAGAAUUUUGAAUGAAGCUCACAGAACUCGUUAUACAGUACACCCAGGAGCCACAAAAAUGUAUAUAGAUCUCCGAGAAGUCUAUUGGUGGCCAGGAUUGAAGACAAGUGUGGCAAGGAAAGUAGCGCAGUGCGACACAUGCCAGAGAGUAAAGAUCGAGCACCAGAAACCAACUGGUCUCAUGAGACCAUUAGAUAUCCCAGAAUGGAAAUGGGAGCAUAUCACGAUGGAUUUUGUGACAGGUCUUCCUAGGGGUCAAAAAGGUAACGAUGUGAUUUGGGUUAUCAUAGAUAGGCUAACGAAGUUGGCACAUUUCUUGCCUACGCGGAUGGAUAGGCCAGUCCGAAAGUUUGCAGAGCAGUAUAUUGGAGAGAUAAUUAGACUUCAUGGCACACCGGUAAGCAUAGUCUCCGAUCGGGAUCCGAGGUUUACCUCAAGAUUUUGGGGGAGCUUGCAGGAGUGCAUGGGGACGCAAUUGAAUCUUAGUACAACUUAUCACCCGCAAACCGAUGGACAAUCUGAAAGAACCAUUAAAACGUUAGAAGACAUGCUAAGGUCAUGUGCCUUGGAUUUUGAGGGUAACUAGGAAGAGCAUCUACCCUUAGUGGAGUUUGCUUAUAAUAACAAUUACCACAACAGUAUAGGAAUGGCACCCUAUGAGGCUCUAUACGGGAGGAAAUGCCGCUCGCCUAUUUGUUGGACCGAGGUAGGAGAGAGACAAAUAUUGGGACCCGAGCUGGUACAACAAACUUCGAAAAAGAUCCGGAAGAUUCAAGAGAGAAUUCGAACAACACAAAGCCGGCAAAAGUCUUAUGCGGACAAAAGAAGACGGGAUUUGGAAUUUGAAGUGGGAGAUCAUGUGUAUCUAAAGGUAUCGCCUUAGCAUUUAGCAACUCGAGGAAAGAAGAAAGGAAAGUUAAGACCCCGAUUUAUAGGACCCUAUCCAGUAAUAGGGCGAGUUGGACCAUUGGCUUAUCAUUUAGAACUUCCUUCUAGCUUGUCCAACAUCCACAAUGUUUUCCAUGUGUCUCAAUUUCGAAGGCAUAUACCAGACCUCACUCAGGAAAUUCGGGUGGAAGUGAUCGACCUAAGAGACAAUUUGACGUAUCCAGAGUUGCCUGAACGGAUCCUCAACCGUCGCGACCAAAUCUUGAGGAACAAAGUCAUUCCAUUAGUAAAGAUUCAAUGGAGGAAUCACACCAAGGAAAAAGCCACGUGGGAGCUCGAAGAUACGAUUAAGGGAAAAUAUCCCUAAUUGUUCGAGGAAAUAGAAUAGAAUAGCAUAUUUUAUGAUUUCUAAGAGAUGUUAUCAAGAACCUUGUGAAAUAAAGAAAUUUUUUUAUGUAUGAUUACGUGAAAGACAUGGCAUACCUGGUUGAUAUUGUUCGUAAAAUGAUAUGAACUUGGAUGACUACAAAGACUAUUAGUAAUGAUUUAUGAUUAAUGUAUCGAGUCAGUAAUUUGAUAGACCAAAAGAAAAAUUUCAAGGACGAAAUUCCCUAAAGGGGGGAAGAAUGUAAUACCCGAAAAACUUUCGGGUAAGAAAUAUGAGGUUUCAAAGGAAAUCGGUAUCAGAAGAGCCUGAGAAAAUAUCUGAAUCGACUAAAGGGAACGCCUGGGGGCUCAUAUACCUAAAGAAAUAGGCAUAUACCUAUUAAGAAUUUCAAGAAAUGAUUUUUAGCAUCGAAAGAAAUUAGAUUAGGAAUGAUUUUCGGUACAGCUAAAAAUACAGCUAUGAUUUUGACUGAAAAACCGAAUCAAUGCAGGAGACCUUUGAGAGGUCAACGGAACUGCAAGAAAGUUCAUAUUUAGUAUGUAGAACAACCCUUCAGUGGUUUCAGGAAGAAACGAAAAGGUUUAGGGCCAAAACGAAGAUUUGGGCCUAAGUGUAGUUUUUUGAAAUUGCUAGAGGGAGGCCGAAACGAUAUUUUUUUGGAAUCUUCAAGGGUUAAAAUGAUAUUUUAGGACUUGAGGGACCGAUAGGCAAUUAUUAAAAGUCGAGGGGCUUGGUGAAAUGGGCCAAAGUGAGAGAGCCAAAGUUUGAGGGGCCAAAGUGCAAUUUUAAGAAAACCUCCAAACAACCAUGGCCGACCAACCCAUCAAAUCACCGAAAUCGACCACAGGGAUGGCACGAGGGUUGCUCAGGGAGCAUCUUUUGUAAAGGGCUUGGCUGACAACAAGCAAUGGGAUGGCCGAAAAUUGAAGAAAAAGUGGCCGGAAGUUUGGCCACUUAGAUCACGAAAAUGGAGCUCUUUUGGUGGAUUUUGGACUUGUUAAGGGCAAAAGGGGACAUCAGAGGCCUUGAUUGAAGCGAGAUCUGUCAUUUAUGGGCCCGAAAUCGCCUAUAAAUAGAGGAUAUGGUGGCCUAGAGUUUUAUAAGAUUUGAGAUUCAAAUCGACCUUAUUUUUGAACAAAUUGAGGCACCAAACCAUAGGGCUUUUGUUGCCCAUGAGGUGAGGAUCAUUUCUGGAAAGUUUGAGGAAUUUUGGAGUUCAUUUAAGGAGUGAUCGGAGCUUCACCGGAAAAAUUGAAUCUUGCCGGAGCCGGACUGAUUUUUGCUCGGAGGGAGGUCUUCCAAGUGUUGUUUCAACCUCAAAUUUGGUCAGAGUGAUCAACUCAAGGAAGUGAUUUGGCCAAGGAUCUUGACAAUUUGUAAUAUUUUUGAGGUUGACACGCAAAUCGAGGCAAGUCGAAUUUUUGUUUUAAGGGAGGUAUCGAAGAAGGUGAAGAACCUAUGUCAGCAGCAAUAAGGGAACUGCGAGAAGAAACUGGGAUAGCUUCUGCUGAAAUAAUUGCUGAGCCACUUCACUACCACGAGCAUUGCCAUGUGGAAAAUCUUAAUCAUUGAUCAAAGAUUUGUUUAACUAGCCGCUGGAGUGCAAGAGGUGAUUCAAGAUUUUCUAGAAAAGCUAUCGGGAAAUCUAGCUGAGGUUCCAAAAUGGUUGACUUAUGACUUCCCACCUGCUGUGAAGACCAAAGUGAAUCGUCUGUGGAGAGGUGAAUGGCAUGGGCAGGCACAAAAAUGGUUCCUUAUGAGAUUGACAAAAGAUGAUAGUGAGGUCAA